GGAUGUGAGGGUAAUCUGGUUGCGAGAUCUGUCACCCCAUUGAUUGCCAGUGUUGAUUCGGCUGACCUGGCUGGCUAGGCAGGUGUGCCCUUUCUCCCUCACGUAUGUCCUUCUCAAAGCUGCAAGUUCAGUCAAAGUGGACGACCUUCUCUGAUAGAGGAGGACCAUGUGCUCCCCUGCUAGAACCUCCAAACAAGCUCUCAACAUGGAUCUUAGAGGCUGGGAUUGUAGCUCAGUGGUAGAGCAUUUGCCUAGCAUUCCUGAGGCCCUGGGUUUAAU
rnacentral:snRNA from 1 species